rnacentral:lncRNA from 1 species
GGCUGAAUUGAAAAGGUUAACCAUGUUCAAUCAUGCUGGAUUUGAACUUGCUAGGCUGGAAGAAAUUGCUGCUGUUGAACACCGUCUGAAUGCCUUCAAAAUCAUCUGGAUAGACUCCAAGCUGUUUCCGAGUCUUGAAGCUCAGAGGUCUGAGUCUGAAAGGUUAGAAGGAGCUGCUGCUAGAGUUGCCGAGUUGGCAAAUGAGCUACAUAAUGAGGAUGCCACAGAAGAGGAUGU